UAGGGAAUCUUCCGCAAUGGGCGAAAGCCUGACGGAGCAACGCCGCGUGAGUGAUGAAGGUCUUCGGAUCGUAAAACUCUGUUAUUAGGGAAGAACAAAUGUGUAAGUAACUAUGCACGUCUUGACGGUACCUAAUCAGAAAGCCACGGCUAACUACGUGCCAGCAGCGGCGGUAAUACGUAGGUGGCAAGCGUUAUCCGGAAUUAUUGGGCGUAAAGCGCGCGUAGGCGGUUUUUUAAGUCUGAUGUGAAAGCCCACGGCUCAACCGUGGAGGGUCAUUGGAAACUGGAAAACUUGAGUGCAGAAGAGGAAAGUGGAAUUCCAUGUGUAGCGGUGAAAUGCGCAGAGAUAUGGAGGAACACCAGUGGCGAAGGCGACUUUCUGGUCUGUAACUGACGCUGAUGUGCGAAAGCGUGGGGAUCAAACAGG
rnacentral:rRNA from 1 species